rnacentral:rRNA from 1 species
UGCCAGCCGCCGCGGUAAUACGAAGGGGGCGAGCGUUGUUCGGAAUGACUGGGCGUAAAGGGCGCGUAGGCGGAUCGUCAAGUCAGAGGUGAAAGCCCCGGGCUCAACCCGGGAGGUGCCUUUGAAACUGACGGUCUUGAGUACGGGAGAGGUGAGCGGAAUUCCCAGUGUAGAGGUGAAAUUCGUAGAUAUUGGGAAGAACACCAGUGGCGAAGGCGGCUCACUGGCCCGUAACUGACGCUGAGGCGCGAAAGCGUGGGGAGCAAACAGGAUUAGAUA